CACGAACCGUACGAACGUUAUUCGGAAUUACUGGGCUUAAAGGGUUUGUAGGCGGCCUUGUAAGUCAGGUGUGAAAGCCCUCGGCUCAACCGAGGAACAGCGCUUGAUACUGCAAGGCUUGAGGGAGACAGAGGUAAGCGGAACUGAUGGUGGAGCGGUGAAAUGCGUUGAUAUCAUCAGGAACACCGGUGGCGAAAGCGGCUUACUGGGUCUCUUCUGACGCUGAGGAACGAAAGCUAGGGUAGCGAACGGG
rnacentral:rRNA from 1 species